CACGUAGGGGGCUAGCGUUGUCCGGAAUCAUUGGGCGUAAAGCGCGUGUAGGCGGCCAGAUAAGUCCGGUGUGAAAGUCAAAGGCUCAACCUUUGAAUGCCGCUGGAAACUGUCUGGCUAGAGUCCGGAAGGGGCGAGUGGAACUCCUGGUGUAGCGGUGAAAUGCGCAGAUAUCAGGAAGAACACCUAUGGCGAAGGCAGCUUGCUGGGACGGUACUGACGCUGAGGCGCGAAAGCGUGGGGAGCAAACAGG
rnacentral:rRNA from 1 species